GGGUCUGUUCUGGGACCAAUUUUAUUCAACAUAUUCAUAAAUGACCUUGCAAUUGGCGUUGAAAGUUAUCUUGAAUAUGCUGUGCAAUUUUGGGCACCUAUUCUAAAGAAGGAUAUUAUAGCACUGGAAAAGGUGCAGAGGUGGGCUACAAAAUUAAUAAAA